AAAAAAUCCAUAGCUACUUUCAUACCCUCCGAUAUGAGUUGCGCCAGGAAAUUCUGGUUUUGGAGGAUUACCAGAGUUUCCAUCCCGUUGAUAUCCAUGGAAAAGAUGAUUGCUUGUCCCUGUAGGCUCAUCUCUACCCAAGAUUGGGGUUGAUGCGAGGGGUGGAUUGAUUGAGUCGCAAAAACCAAUGGAGAUUGAGGAGGAUGAGGGUAGUUGUUCAUGUCGUUUCGAGGUGGGACUGAGGAUUGAGUUAUCGGAGAUAAGCGAAUUAUCUGGCGGUUGGGAGGAAGGU
rnacentral:misc_RNA from 1 species